rnacentral:rRNA from 1 species
UAGGGAAUCUUCGGCAAUGGACGAAAGUCUGACCGAGCAACGCCGCGUGAGUGAAGAAGGUUUUCGGAUCGUAAAACUCUGUUGUUAGAGAAGAACAAGGACGUUAGUAACUGAACGUCCCCUGACGGUAUCUAACCAGAAAGCCACGGCUAACUACGUGCCAGCAGCCGCGGUAAUACGUAGGUGGCAAGCGUUGUCCGGAUUUAUUGGGCGUAAAGCGAGCGGAGGCGGUUACUUAAGUCUGAUGUGAAAGCCCCCGGCUCAACCGGGGAGGGUCAUUGGAAACUGGGAGACUUGAGUGCAGAAGAGGAGAGUGGAAUUCCAUGUGUAGCGGUGAAGUGCGUAGAUAUAUGGAGGAACACCAGUGGCGAAGGCGGCUCUCUGGUCUGUAACUGACGCUGAGGCUCGAAAGCGUGGGGAGCAAACAGG